rnacentral:rRNA from 1 species
AGAGUUUGAUCCUGGCUCAGAGGGAACGCUGGCGGGAGGGCUCACCCCUGCUAGUUGAACCGCAGCACAUAGGAGCUUGCGCCUUGGGUGGCGAGUGGGGGACGGGUGAUGAAUUCAUCGCAUUUUACUUUUUCGUGGGGGAUUACGCUAGGAAACUUAACCUUAUACCCCUUACGAACUAACGGUGAAAGCCAGGGAUCUUCCGAGCCUUUCCCAUUGAAUUAACCGAUGUCCGAUUACACUCUUUGGCCGGGUAAAUGCCCACCAAGCGACGAUCCCUUCCUGGUACCGAGAGGAGCAUCCACCAAACUGGAACGUACAUAUUGUUCGGACUCCUUCAGGAGGACCCAGUGUGGAAUAGUUGGAUAUGGGUCCCAGCCUGAUGCCUCCAUAACCCGUGGGUCUAACAACGCCUUCGCGGUUGUGAAUGGCUUUUGCUUGCAAACAAAGUCCACCAGUCAACACCGGUGUGGGAUGAAGGAGUCCGGACAAUAUCUCCCUGCCAAC